GUAGGUGGCAAGCGUUGUCCGGAAUUAUUGGGCGUAAAGCGCGCGCAGGCGGUUCUUUAAGUCUGAUGUGAAAGCCCACGGCUCAGCCGUGGAGGGUCAUUGGAAACUGGAGAACUUGAGUACAGAAGAGGAAAGCGGAAUUCCACGUGUAGCGGUGAAAUGCGUAGAGAUGUGGAGGAACACCAGUGGCGAAGGCGGCUUUCUGGUCUGUAACUGACGCUGAGGCGCGAAAGCGUGGGGGGGGCAAACAGGAUUAGAUACCCUGGUAGUCCACGCCGUAAACGAUGAGUGCUAAGUGUUAGGGGGGUUUCCGCCCCCCUUAGUGCUGCAGCUAACGCAUUAAGCACUCCGCCUGGGAGUACGGCCGCAAGGCUG
rnacentral:rRNA from 1 species